rnacentral:rRNA from 1 species
GACAGAGGGUGCAAACGUUGCUCGGAAUUACUGGGCGUAAAGCGCGUGUAGGUGGCUUGUUAAGUCGGGUGUGAAAUCCCUCGGCUCAACCGAGGAAGUGCAUUCGAUACUGGCAAGCUCGAGUACCGGAGAGGGUCGUGGAAUUCCUGGUGUAGAGGUGAAAUUCGUAGAUAUCAGGAGGAACACUGGCGGCGAAGGCGGCGACCUGGACGAGUACUGACACUCAGACGCGAAAGCGUGGGGAGCAAACAGG